rnacentral:lncRNA from 1 species
CUCUAGGGGUAUGAUGUUAAAGAGGAAAUAACAUGUGCCUAUGGUCAAAAUGAUUAAUUUCUGAUAAGGCAUUCAUUGUUACCAACAAAACUCAUUAGCAUCCAAAUUUUCAACUUGGCAAAAAUAAUGCAUUCUAUCAUGUUCAACUUUCAUAUGAUGAAUAUAUGAAACCACCAAAAUGAUCUAAGACAUCCAAACUAUUGCCCAAAGGUAGCAACCUAAG